GUGCGAGACCGAUAGCGAACAAGUACCGUGAGGGAAAGAUGAAAAGAACUUUGAAAAGAGAGUUAAAGAGUACCUGAAACUGCUGAAAGGGAAGCGAAUCGUAUCCAGUGUCUAUGAUCUGCGGCAUAUUUCAUUGGCGGCAGUGUGCGUGCUUUUGCGUCGGAAGCGGCUUUUGUUGCUCUGUGCUUUUGCUGUGCGUGCUGUUGCUGGUGCCCUGUGUUGCGGUGGGACGUCAGAGUCAGUUCGUAUGCUGCGGGAAAUGGCCGCCGAGGAGGUAGGUCAGGACUUCGGUCUUGGCUGUUAUAUCUUGGUGGUUUGUUGUCGUGGUUGGGACUGAGGUGCCUACAAUGUGCUUUUGAGUGUGCCGGGUUCUCAUUUGGUGGACUGUUUGGAUAGCUUGCUAUGCUUGUGGUUUUUUCAUCGAGUGAUUGAGUCUGGUGGUAACUUGUUGCUGUUCGGGACUUUGA
rnacentral:rRNA from 2 species